UUCGAUUUGGUUUCAACAAGUACCAGCCGUUUUGUCGACUUUUCUCAUCAAUUUGCUAUAAUUAAUUGGCAACGAGGAUGAAUCAAAGUCUAGUGAACAUAUAUUGAUCGAUCACAAUGAAUGAGAAGCAUUGGGAAGGAAUUCACCGUGUUAUUGAACACCUAUUCAGAAGCUGUGCUAACCGUGCCAUACAAAGAAAGAAUCUCCCCUAAAUUGUCGUCCAUUCCUGGGACGUUUCUGGUGCUAAUUGAGAACGAGUACAGUUGGCCACUUAAAGGUGUACUCCUAGGAUUCCCCCAACUCUAAUAAACAUUCCAUCACGUUGGAAAUAUUGAAACUUCGUCUACGUUUCAGGGUAUACUAAUUUCUCACUUCUUCCAUUCUGGAGCAAUGGAAGAGUGUAUGCUCGGCGUCGUCUUCCUCACUGCAGUAGGUGAAUUUAUGAGUGAUUAAUCUUCUCUUGGUAUGAAGGAAUCUACGAAAGCAUCCAUGGUCUUGCCAUAUUACUUCCCAAUCUACUCAUAAUCUUGUUCGCAACAAUGGAAAAAUAAAAAUAAAAAAACUAAAA